rnacentral:rRNA from 1 species
UAUACAACUUUCAACAACGGAUCUCUUGGCUCUCGCAUCGAUGAAGAACGCAGCGAAAUGCGAUAAGUAAUGUGAAUUGCAGAAUUCAGUGAAUCAUCGAAUCUUUGAACGCACCUUGCGCCCCUUGGUAUUCCGAGGGGCAUGCCUGUUUGAGUGUCA